rnacentral:rRNA from 1 species
GCGACCGGCGCACGGGUGAGUAACGCGUAUCCAACCUUCCGUACACUCAGGGAUAGCCUUUCGAAAGAAAGAUUAAUACCUGAUGGUAUGAUGAGAUUGCAUGAUAGCAUCAUUAAAGAUUUAUCGGUGUACGAUGGGGAUGCGUUCCAUUAGGUAGUAGGCGGGGUAACGGCCCACCUAGCCAACGAUGGAUAGGGGUUCUGAGAGGAAGGUCCCCCACAUUGGAACUAAGACACGGUCCAAACUCCUACGGGAGGCAGCAGUGAGGAAUAUUGGUCAAUGGACGAGAGUCUGAACCAGCCAAGUAGCGUGAAGGAUGAAGGUCCUACGGAUUGUAAACUUCUUUUAUAAGGGAAUAAACCCUCCCACGUGUGGGAGCUUGUAUGUACCUUAUGAAUAAGCAUCGGCUAACUCCGUGCCAGCAGCCGCGGUAAUACGGAGGAUGCGAGCGUUAUCCGGAUUUAUUGGGUUUAAAGGGAGCGCAGACGGGUCGUUAAGUCAGCUGUGAAAGUUUGGGGCCCAACCUUAAAAUUGCAGUUGAUACUGGCGUCCUUGAGUGCGGUUGAGGUGUGCGGAAUUCGUGGUGUAGCGGUGAAAUGCUUAGAUAUCACGAAGAACUCCGAUUGCGAAGGCAGCAC